rnacentral:rRNA from 1 species
UACGUAGGUGGCAAGCGUUGUCCGGAUUUACUGGGCGUAAAGAGCGCGCAGGCGGUCGGAUCAGUCGAAUGUGAAAGCCCCCGGCUCAACUGGGGAGGGUCAUUCGAUACUGUCCGACUCGAAGGCAGGAGAGGGAAGCGGAAUUCCCGGUGUAGUGGUGAAAUGCGUAGAUAUCGGGAGGAACACCAGUGGCGAAGGCGACUACCUGGCCCAUUCUUGACGCUGAGGCGCGAAAGCUAGGGGAGCGAACGGG